AGAGUUUGAUCCUGGCUCAGAAUCAACGCUGGCGGCGCGCCUAACACAUGCAAGUCGAACGAGAAAGUGGAGCAAUCCAUGAGUACAGUGGCGUACGGGUGAGUAACACGUGGAUCAUCUACCUCUUUGUGGGGAAUAACCCUGGGAAACCGGGGAUAAUACCGCAUAAGCCUGAGAAGGGAAAGCAGCAAUGCGCUGAGAGAGGAGUCCGCGGCCGAUUAGCUAGUUGGCAGGGUAAAAGCCUACCAAGGCAGAGAUCGGUAGCCGGCCUGAGAGGGCACACGGCCACACUGGCACUGAAACACGGGCCAGACUCCUACGGGAGGCAGCAGUGGGGAAUCUUGCACAAUGGGGGAAACCCUGAUGCAGCGACGCCGCGUGAGCGAUGAAGCCCUUCGGGGUGUAAAGCUCUUUCGGCAGGGAAGAUUAUGACGGUACCUGCAGAAGCAGCUGCGGCUAACUACGUGCCAGCAGCCGCGGUAAUACGUAGGCAGCAAGCGUUGUUCGGAGUUACUGGGCGUAAAGGGUGUGUAGGCGGUUGUUUAAGUUUGGUGUGAAAUCCCCCGGCUCAACUGGGAGGGUGCGCCGAAUACUGAAUGACUUCGAGUGCGGGAGAGGAUAGUGGAAUUCCUGGUGUAGCGGUGAAAUGCGUAGAUAUCAGGAGGAACACCGGUGGUGUAGACGGCUAUCUGGACCGUAACUGACGCUGAGACACGAAAGCGUGGGUAGCAAACAGGAUUAGAUACCCUAGUAGUCC
rnacentral:rRNA from 1 species